rnacentral:rRNA from 1 species
UUAGGAAUCUUCCACAAUGGGCGAAAGCCUGAUGGAGCGACGCCGCGUGAGGGAUGAAGGCCUUAGGGUUGUAAACCUCUAAAAGAGGGACGAUAAUGACGGUACCUCUUGAAUAGCACCGGCUAACUCCGUGCCAGCAGCCGCGGUAAUACGGAGGGUGCAAGCGUUAUCCGGAAUCACUGGGCGUGAAGGGCGCGUAGGCGGUCUGUUAAGUCCGAUGUUAAAUCCCGGGGCUCAACCCCGGAUAAGCGUUGGAUACUGGCAGGCUAGACGGUUGGAGAGGCGAGUGGAAUUACCAGUGUAGCGGUGGAAUGCGUAGAUACUGGUAGGAACACCCAUUGCGAAGGCAGCUCGCUGGACAACACGUGACGCUGAGGCGCGAAAGUGUGGGGAGCAAACC